rnacentral:rRNA from 1 species
GACGAACGCUGGCGGCGUGCUUAACACAUGCAAGUCGAACGGAAAGGCCCUGCACUUGUGGGGUGCUCGAGUGGCGAACGGGGGAGUAUCACGUGUGUAACCUGCCCCUUACUUUGGGGUACCUUCAGGAAACUGGGGCGCAUAUCGCACAUGAGAUCUUGAUGCAUGGGGGGGGUGGGAGAGUGUCGGCGGUUCGGGAUGGACUCGUGGCUUAUCAGCUUGUUGGUGGGGUAGUGGCUUACCAAGGCUUUGACGGGUAGCCGGCCUGAGAGGGUGACCGGCCACAUUGGGACUGAGAUACGGCCCAGACUCCUACGGGAGGCAGCAGUGGGGAAUAGUGCACAAUGGGCGGAAGCCUGAUGCAGCAACGCCGCGUGCGGGAUGACGGCCGUCGGGUUGUAAACCGCUUUCGCCUGUGACGAAGCGUGAGUGACGGUAAUGGGUAAAGAAGCACCGGCUAACUACGUG